UCUCUUGUUUAAAAGAUUAUCCUGACGAUAGAAGAAGUUGAAAGAAGAAAAAGUAUGAAGAAUUUUGCAAAUUAAUUAGUGAGUUGCACUCACUAAUGGCUCCAUUAGGUUAUCCAGGUACUACAAAAUUAUAUGUUGCGUACAUAAUAUAUAUGCAGAAUGUAUGUGGCUUAUAUGUGACAUAUAAGUUACAUAUAUAUUUGUCUUAAAUAUAUGUUUGCAUACAUAGUGACUUGUUUCUUACGUAUACAUUAAUUAUUAUGUUAUAUGUAUGUUGCAAUUUCACAUAUGAAUUAAAUAUAUUUUUAUCUUACAUAUAUGUGACCAUAAUUGACAAAAGGGCCCUUAUGGCGGAGAGUCAAGGUGGGCAGAGCAAUGUACAAGCACGUGUGUUAUCAUCAUGUGAUAGUGAUUAGUGAAACAUGGUCAUGGAGCUGUGAUCUAUUCAUUCAGUUAAGUUGAGUUAAUCCUGUACUCUGGCAGCAAUGGCCACUCGAGCUGUGAAGCCUUGAUUUCUCUGAUGAAUCGCUAUCCCAUGAGCUAGGCUACUAUAUGAUUGAACUAAUUGGUGCAUGGCUAAUAAAACAAAUCAUAGUGUGAUGAAGUUGUGGCUUGAAGUACUAUAGAGCCAAAGAACUCGUACGCAUCUUUGUCUCUGUAUACUGUAUGUAUAACUUUGAAUGUAAGAAAGUGCUCUUUUAUUUUUUCACUCAUAUCAAGAAUGAUGAAGCAGUGACCAACAAAAUAUAUUUACUUUUGAUAUGGGGUCGCCUUGGUUACUUGCUUGGUGGUGGAAAGUUUUUUACAAAACUGACAGGUUAAAUUUUGGCGAUUUCUCUGAUCUGUUACUCACAACAUAUUUAAAAGGUUAUUUGUUAAAUCUUUUUUCACUCCAACAAAAAUUUAAUGUAAGUAUGUGUGCAUAUGGGAAGCUAUCAAGGAGGUAUAGAGAACUGAACAUUAUUCAUAUAGGAGGCUCAUAUAUGUGCGAAAGGUGGACAAAGUCUUUACAAGAAGAAAUUUAGUAAAAGGUGGACAAAGUUACUUUGAAAGCAUAUAUAUUUUAUUUAUAACUUAGUUAUAACUUUAUUAUACAAUAUAUACCAUAUGUUUAUAUUUAAUAUGUAUUAUGUUCAUUAUAUAUAUGUUUUAUAGAAAAGAAAUAUAUUUUGCAGUUAA